rfam:Rattus norvegicus chromosome 8, whole genome shotgun sequence.
GGGGAUGUAGCUCAGUGGUAGAGCGCUUGCCUAGCAAGCGCAAGGCCCUGGGUUCGGUCCCCAGCUCCG